CCUACGGGAGGCAGCAGUAAGGAAUAUUGGUCAAUGGGCGCGAGCCUGAACCAGCCAUGCCGCGUGCAGGAAGACGGCCCUAUGGGUUGUAAACUGCUUUUGAACAAGAGAAAACCUCGGUACGUGUACCGAGCUGAUAGUAUUGUUAGAAUAAGCAUCGGCUAACUUCGUGCCAGCAGCCGCGGUAAGACGAAGGAUGCAAGCGUUAUCCGGAUUCAUUGGGUUUAAAGGGUGCGUAGGCGGCCUGAUAAGUCAGUGGUGAAAUCUCUCAGCUUAACUGAGAAACUGCCAUUGAUACUGUCGGGCUUGAGUACAGAUGAUGUGGGCGGAAAUAUGACAUGUAGUGGUAGAAAUACUUAGAUAUGUCAUAGAACCACCGUAUUGCGAAGGCAGCUCAACAAAACUGUAACUGACGCUGAGCACGAAGUGCGGGAGUACAACAGAUAGUAUACCUACGUAGUACGCGACCGUAACGAUAGAUACUCGUUGUUGGUCG
rnacentral:rRNA from 1 species